rnacentral:lncRNA from 1 species
GAAUUUGGGGCCUGGGAAUGUUUAAAAAUGAAAGCCAGUUAAUAGUUUUAUUUUUCUUUUAACAUGACAGACAGGAGAACAACCAGCAGGAGCUAUGAGCAACAUAGCAGUGAUUCAGCAAGCUCACAAUAGCUUUACCAGGCAGCAAAUUGAAGCAGAUUACAGCUACUAGGAAAGACGCUUCUCAUUUUGUGAGAUGUGCUCCCGUGGCUGAAAGAUUGUGUGAAUUAGGUAGAUUGAGGGAAGGGCCAAUUGAUUUAGAGUACUGCAAUCAAGACAACUGGAUAGCCUAGUGAUGCCAGCUCAGAAAAAGAAUAGUAAAGUAUAGUGAAAACAAAAAUUCAAUU